rnacentral:rRNA from 1 species
AGUGAACGCUGGCGGUAGGCCUAACACAUGCAAGUCGAACGGCAGCACAGUAAGAUCUUGCUCUUACGGGUGGCGAGGGGCGGACGGGUGAGGCAUACAUCGGAAACUACUUUUACGGGGGGGAUAACGGAGGGAAACAUACGCUAAUACCUCAUACGACCAACGGGUGAAAGCAGAGGAGCUUGGGGCCUUUCCCGACUGAAUUAGCCGCGGUCGGAUUACCUAGUUGGCUGGGUAAAGGCUCACCAAGGCGACGAUCCGUAGCUGGUCUGAGAGGAUGAUCAGCAACACUGGAACUAAGACACGGUCCAGCCUCCUAGGGGAGGCAGCAGUGGGAAAUAUUGGACAAUGGGCGAAAGCCUGAUCCAGCCAUACGGCGUGGGUGAAGAAGGCCUUCGGGUUGUAAGCCCUUUUGUUGGGAAAGAAAAGAAGCAGGUUUAUACGUCGAUGUUCUGACGGUACCCAAAGAAUAAGCACCGGCUAACUUCGUG